rnacentral:rRNA from 1 species
CUCGUAGGUGGUUUGUCGCGUUGUUCGUGAAAACUCACAGCUCAACUGUGGGCGUGCGGGCGAUACGGGCAGACUUGAGUACUGCAGGGGAGACUGGAAUUCCUGGUGUAGCGGUGGAAUGCGCAGAUAUCAGGAGGAACACCGGUGGCGAAGGCGGGUCUCUGGGCAGUAACUGACGCUGAGGAGCGAAAGCGUGGGGAGCGAACG